GUCCUUGCGCAGUGGCAAUAUCGUAAACUAAUGAAGGUCUCCUGAGGUGCGAUUAUUGCUAGUUGAAAACUAGGUGCCACGAUAGCCGAGCGGUUAGAGGCGAGACCUGUGAAGCUAAUAUGUAUUGUGGUAC
rnacentral:snRNA from 1 species